CGAAGCAUGAAGAGUUCCAUGCCCUGGCCUGCACCUGAGAGAAUGUACAGCCACCUGGCCUUCCACAGCACUGGCCCUGUCUGCAAGGUCUUUCCCCUGCCUCUUAGAGAAUCUGCUCCCAGCUCUCAGACAAGGUGGUGACCUGUGGAAGUUGAGGGGGCUGCUACAGAAUGGAACCUGAGAUAAGUCUCUCAUGGCCUUACGGAAUUACAUUCUGCUUUCAAGGGAAGCCCUUGCGCAAGACUCACUCCACCUCAUCUGUGUCCAGUGCUCUACUAAUUUCCAUGGUGCAGAUCUCAGCCCUGGAGGUUCAUCUUCCUAAGGAAUGCUGGGACUUCCUGGUCCUCUCUCCUGGUGCAUGGUCCAUUCUUCUUGUUCUUUACAGGCAUGCUUUUCAAGACACCCAACUUUGCAUGGCACUGCUUGUCAGAAGCCAGAGCCUAGGGCCAACCCCGGGUCCCAGAUAGCAUGUACCCGGCAAAACAGUCACUAUCAGGAGGGACCUUGGGCGAAGGGGGCCUGCUGGCUGAUGCAGCAUCCUGACCUGUGAGUAGUUCCAGGGGUCUAGAGCUGGGACAAGAGUCUUCUCUGAAUACUACUCUCAUGAAGAAGAGAGAAGACUGAUUAAAUUAAAAUAUGAAAGAGAGGGUCUCCCUGCAGCAUCCAGGGAAACCCUAAUUCUUGGCAGCUGGGGGGUAGUUGGGUAGGAGGAGUGUGAAAGGCUGAUUUGGAGGACAAGGCUAUAUAGGUAUUGUGGAAUCCUCAGCUCCUGCCUGCUGUGGUCUGCAAUUGGGAGGUGUGGGAGCUGCUGGCUCCUGUGAGUAUAACAGCCCCAUAGAAGUGACUAUUCUCAUCCCACUUGAUAACCUCGUAAUGGUCUCAAGAAGGAUAAGAGUCUAACCAGAUAAUGUUCAUCUUACAGAACCUGCUUCUGUGGCCUCUCAGUAUGAGAUUACUGAUAGGCAGGGAGGAACAGACCCCCAUGCAGCCAGCUGGGGAGGUGCAGAACCCUUUGAGGGAG
rnacentral:lncRNA from 1 species